GUGGGGAAUAUUGCGCAAUGGGGGAAACCCUGACGCAGCGACGCCGCGUGAGCGAAGAAGGCCUUAGGGUUGUAAAGCUCUGUUUUAGGGGACGAAUGUCGUGGGGAGUAAUAUGCUCUGCGAAUGACGGUACCUUAAGAGGAAGCCCCGGCUAACUACGUGCCAGCAGCCGCGGUAAGACGUAGGGGGCGAGCGUUGUCCGGAAUUACUGGGCGUAAAGAGCACGUAGGCGGGAACUUAAGUCAGGUGUGAAAGACCGGGGCUCAACUCCGGGGUUGCACUUGAAACUGGGUUUCUUGAGGGCAGGAGAGGAAAGCAGAAUUCCUGGUGUAGCGGUGAAAUGCGUAGAAAUCAGGAGGAAUACCAGUGGCGAAGGCGGCUUCCUGGCACAAUACUGACGCUCAUGUGCGAAAGCUAGGGCAGCGAACGGGAUUAGAAACCCUUGUAGUCC
rnacentral:rRNA from 1 species